rnacentral:lncRNA from 1 species
UAAAACCCUAAUACUGGUUGAAUUGAAAAUUCAGUUUAGGGUUUAAAACCCUAAUGCUGACUAAAGGAAAAAGAUCAGUUUAGGGUUUAAAACCCUAAUGCUGAUUGCAUGGAAAAGCUCAGUUUAGGGUUUAAAACCCUAAUGCUGGCUGAAUGGAAAAUUCAGUUUAGGGUUUAAAACCCUAAUGCUGACUAAAGGAAAAAGUUCAGUUUAGGGUUUAAAACCAUAAUGCUGGCUGAAUGGAAAAAGUUCAGUUUAGGGUUUAAAACCCUAAUGCUGAUUGAAAGGAAAAAGGUCAGUUUAGGGUUUAAAUAACCCUAAUGCUGACUGCAUGGAAAAGCUCAGUUUAGGGUUUAAAACCCUAAUGCUGGCUGAAUGGAAAAUUCAGUUUAGGGUUUAAAACCCUAAUACUGACUAAAGGAAAAAGUUCAGUUUAGGGUUUAAAACCCUAAUGCUUACUAAAGGAAAAAUUCAGUUUAGGGUUUAAAACCCUAAUGCUGACUGCAUGGAAAAGCUCAGUUUAGGGUUUAAAACCCUAAUGCUGGCUGAAUGGAAAAUUCAGUUUAGGGUUUAAAACCCUAAUGCUGAUUGAAUGGAAAAAAAUCAGUUUAGGGUUUAAAACCCUAAUGCUGAUUGCAUGAAAAAGCUCAGUUUAGGGUUUAAAACCCUAAUGCUGGCUGAAUGGAAAAUUCAGUUUAGGGUUUAAAACCCUAAUACUGACUAAAGGGAAAAUUCAGUUUAGGGUUUAAAACCCUAAUGCUGACUGCAUGGAAAAGCUCAGUUUAGGGUUUAAAACCCUAAUGCUGGCUGAAUGGAAAAUUCAGUUUAGGGUUUAAAACCCUAAUGCUGACUAAAGGAAAAAGUUCAGUUUAGGGUUUAAAACCCUAAUGCUGACUAAAGGAAAAAUUCAGUUUAGGGUUUAAAACCCUAAUGCUGACUGCAUGGAAAAGCUCAGUUUAGGGUUUAAAGCCCUAAUGCUGGCUGAAUGGAAAAAGUUCAGUUUAGGGUUUAAAACCCUAAUGCUGACUAAAGGAAAAAUUUAGUUUAGGGUUUUUAAACCUUAAUGCUGAUUGCAUGAAAAAGCUCAGUUUAGGGUUUAAAACCUUAAUGCUAGCUGAAUGGAAAAUUCAGUUUAGGGUUUAAAACCCUAAUGCUGACUAAAGGAAAAAGUUCAGUUUAGGGUUUAAAACCCUAAUGCUGACUAAAGGAAAAAUUCAGUUUAGGGUUUAAAACCCUAAUGCUGAUUGCAUGAAAAAGCUCAGUUUAGGGUUUAAAACCCUAAUGCUGGCUGAAUGGAAAAUUCAGUUUAGGGUUUAAAACCCUAAUGCUGACUAAAGGGAAAAUUCAGUUUAGGGUUUAAAACCCUAAUGCUGAUUGCAUGGCAAAGCUCAGUUUAGGGUUAAAACCCUAAUGCUGGCUGAAAGGAAAAAAAAAGUUCAGUUUAGGAUUUAAACCCCUAAUGCUGACUAAAGGAAAAAUUUAGUUUAGGGUUUUUAAACCUUAAUGCUG